rnacentral:tRNA from 1 species
AUCGAAAUAGUUCAGUUGGGAGAGCAUUAGACUGUAGACCGAAAACUCCCUGGUACGGUCCCGGGUUCCGGCA